GCGCGCCCGCCAGCACGGGGGGAGCGCGGGGCCCCGCGCAGCCUCGUCCGCGCCGCCACCGCCCCCGCGCAGCGCCGCGCCCGGCCCCGCUCCGCUCCGCCGCGUUGCCCUCCCUCCCCUGUCGGCGCCCGGCGACCGAGGACUGAUGGAAAAUAGCCCAUUGUGCGAGCGCUCGGCUUCAGCAGACAGCUCUAGAAACGUUCACCAUUGUUCCCCGUGCCCCUCACCGAGGCCGCCGGGCAGCGCCGGGCCCAGGGCUUCACACGUUCCGCGGGCGCGGAGCCGGCACUGGCGGGGACCUCGGCUCUUAACCGCGUCGCUCCGCGGUGGAGCUGCGCGAGGGUGAUCGCUGCGACAAAACUUCGCGGUGACAAAACUUCGCUGCGAAGUACGAGAGGGAGCAGGAGACGCUCUCUGGCGCAGACAAGCGAAGCCAGAAACUAAAGAACAAGAACGUGUAAUAAUGAAUAAAACCUUCGCUAUUAAAUGUA